UAACGCGAAGAACCUUACCAGGUCUUGACAUCCUCUGACAACCCUAGAGAUAGGGCUUUCCCCUUCGGGGGACAGAGUGACAGGUGGUGCAUGGUUGUCGUCAGCUCGUGUCGUGAGAUGUUGGGUUAAGUCCCGCAACGAGCGCAACCCUUGAUCUUAGUUGCCAGCAUUCAGUUGGGCACUCUAAGGUGACUGCCGGUGACAAACCGGAGGAAGGUGGGGAUGACGUCAAAUCAUCAUGCCCCUUAUGACCUGGGCUACACACGUGCUACAAUGGAUGGUACAAAGGGCUGCAAACCUGCGAAGGUAAGCGAAUCCCAUAAAGCCAUUCUCAGUUCGGAUUGUAGGUCUGCAACUCGCCUACAUGAAGCCGGAAUCGCUAGUAAUCGCGGAUCAGACAUGUCCGCGGUG
rnacentral:rRNA from 1 species